UUGUUUGGGGUUAUUAGCUAGUUUUGGACCCCUGUGAUCAUAUACAGGAGUAUAUGUAUGGUGAGGAGGUGCCGUUUGCAUGGUUUGAAAAGUUGAAGGAAAGAAGGAGAUGGGUUGUCGUUGAAGCUGAGUUCUGGAUGAACUCAGGUUCGGCAGCCGAAAGUUCAUUCGGCCGCCGAACCUCUUGCAUGGUAGCUUAGGCUGCCACAGCUUGCCCCCG
rnacentral:lncRNA from 1 species